AGAGGCUUACGGGGGAGCGCAUCACGUCCAUUGAAAUUGGGCACCGAAAGAGACUCGGAACGGUGACGUAUAGCUUCUCCCUUAUCUUUGCCAUUCUUUUCCUUUAAUCGUUAUGUUCUUGUUUUUUCUGUUAUGCUUCUUUCUCUUGGUUUCUCACAGCACAACACAACACAACACAGUGUAAGAAGAGAAAGGGGGUAUUAUAAUACAGACACACUUGACACAGUGGUCCAUUUAAGCGGGUGUGUGGUCUUUGGUCAAAGUUUUGUUUCUAAUAACAGUGGGACUCUUAACUGGAA
rnacentral:lncRNA from 1 species